AUUGAACGCUGGCGGCAUUCUUUACACAUGCAAGUCGAACGGCAGCGCGGGCUUCGGCCUGGCGGCGAGUGGCGAACGGGCGAGUAAUACAUCGGAACGUGCCCAGUAGUGGGGGAUAGCUCGGCGAAAGCCGGAUUAAUACCGCAUACGACCUGAGGGUGAAAGCGGGGGAUCUUCGGACCUCGCGCUAUUGGAGCGGCCGAUGGCAGAUUAGCUAGUUGGUGGGGUAAAGGCCUACCAAGGCGACGAUCUGUAGCUGGUCUGAGAGGACGACCAGCCACACUGGGACUGAGACACGGCCCAGACUCCUACGGGAGGCAGCAGUGGGGAAUUUUGGACAAUGGGCGAAAGCCUGAUCCAGCAAUGCCGCGUGUGUGAUGAAGGCCUUCGGGUUGUAAAGCACUUUUGGCGGGAACGAAAAGGACUGUGCCAAUACCACGGUUCGAUGACGGUACCCGCAGAAUAAGCACCGGCUAACUACGUG
rnacentral:rRNA from 1 species